CUUUAACUUGGGUAAGGGUAUGACAUAUAACAUGUGAUCGAGAAUUGUCGGAGAUAAGGGGUAUAGUAUCCAAAGUCUCGGGAAGAGUCUGGAUUCCACCUAAGGAAGUGUCCUCACUAUCAUCCAAGUCAUCAAAAUCUUCAAGUUUAGGUUCAUAGACUAGAUCUUCAAACAGCUCCUCUAUUACAUUCUUUCGUUCUUCCAUGACUAAGGUUCGAUUAGGACAUUUAGAAGAAAUGUGACCAAAGUCUUUACAGUUGACGCACAACAAGUGAGAAGAAGACCUUGGAGUUUCAGAAAUUCUACCCUGAUUUUUCAAGAUUGGAGAACCAUUAGAAG
rnacentral:lncRNA from 1 species